rnacentral:lncRNA from 1 species
CAUCUGCUACUGCAUAACUUUCUUCACGACUGUUCAAAAUUAAUGUAGUUCACUAAUCACUUUCACGCCACCGUUUCUAUGUAACAGUGCCCACUAUUUUUCAUUCCGCAUAAUCCCUUACUUCUAUAUGAGCAUUCUGUCAUUCUAAUGUAGCUUUGCAGAGACAAGAUGAAUAAUAUAACAUAACAAUAACAGUAUCAACGGGAUUGCUAAUUCACAUACUUGAUUCAGUUUUUGCUCUUCUCCCUCAGUUUUGCUUAGUUUAUAACAUAACAGUAUCAAUGGGAUUGCUGUAUCAAUCAUAAACCGAGAAACACAGUACUUAUUUUAAAGGAUAAGUUUACGUUUUUUCAAUAACAAAAAACAUUUCACAUUUUCCAUUCAACUAUUUCUAAGCUCU